rnacentral:rRNA from 1 species
GAUGAACGCUAGCGGCAGGCUUAACACAUGCAAGUCGAGGGGCAGCGCGAUGUAGCAAUACAUUGGCGGCGACCGGCGCACGGGUGCGUAACACGUAUGGAACUUACCCUUUACUGGGAGAUAGCCCGGAGAAAUCCGGAUUAAAUAUCCCAUAAUAAACGAAGUGGCAUCACUUUGUUUUGAAAGCUCCGGCGGUAAAGGAUGGCCAUGCGCACGAUUAGCUAGUAGGUGAGGUAACGGCUCACCUAGGCUACGAUCGUUAGGGGGCCUGAGAGGGUUAUCCCCCACACUGGUACUGAGACACGGACCAGACUCCUACGGGAGGCAGCAGUGAGGAAUAUUGCGCAAUGGAGGCAACUCUGACGCAGCCAUGCCGCGUGCAGGAAGAAGGCGCUACGCGUUGUAAACUGCUUUUAACCGGGAAGAAACCCUCCGACGUGUCGGAGGUUGACGGUACCGGAGGAAUAAGCACCGGCUAACUUCGUGCCAGCAGCCGCGGUAAAGUCAG